CAGGGAUGGAAAUUUGAACUUUCUGGAGGUAAUCGCCUUACUUGUGGGGAGGAAUAUGUGGAGAAUCUACUAGAAGGAUCAAGGAUUGGUGUACAUAAUGCAGGCUGGUGUGGAUUUGGAUGGUGGUCAUAAUAUUUGCAAAGAAGGCAGACAGAUCCCUGGAAAUCUCAUCAGAGAGGGUGGAGAAGAUGGGGGAGAGAUCUUGUAGGAUGUCAGGAUUUGAGUAUCUCAGAUACCCUGCAAACCUCUUCCACAUUCAGAAGAAACCAUCAUGAAAAUCUAUGCUUGGAGAUCUCACUUACACCUCACCUGUGUCCCCAACGCCCUCAAACAAGAACUCUUGCCAUGCCCACUAUUCAUUGCUUCAGGCCCUGCCUCAUCCUACAUUGAUUGGCUUAAGAAGCAGUGUGCU